rnacentral:ncRNA from 1 species
AUAAGAGAAUCCAAGCAGGACAGUGGCCGUGGAGGUCAGGAUCUGCUAAGAGGUGUGUAACAACUUACCUGCUGAGUCAACUGGCCCUGAAAAUGGAGGGGGAAAAA